GUAGCUCUAAGUGCAAAAGGGUCACAGAACCCGGACCACUUCAAUGAGCUGAAGUGGUCGGAGUGCCUCGUGUCACUUUAAACAAAGCAGACAUUCCUGCUCUAAAACUUAGCUUAUUUUAAAUCAAAGCACCUGGCCUGUAGAAAAUGUGCCACCACUUUGCCUGAUGGGUGUAAAAAAUACAAGUAAGCAAGUCUCAGCGGAGUCCUUAGUAAAAGGUAAAUAGAGAAGCAUAGGUUCCUGAAUCAGAAUCUAUUCCACAGAAACCGCAACUGUACAGGAUAGGUCUUUCAAAGGAAAAGAAAGGUCUUCUCCCUCUGGGUUAGCAUCUGGUGAAUACUCACAGUCCUUUGAAGUCUCCAGCCAAGAAUCACUUUCUGAUUCCUGGCAUAACUGAAUAAAUUUCAGUUAUGGAAAAAACGGG